AUUGAACGCUGGCGGCAGGCCUAACACAUGCAAGUCGAGCGGAUGAAGGGAGCUUGCUCCUGGAUUCAGCGGCGGACGGGUGAGUAAUGCCUAUGAAUCUGCCUGGUAGUGGGGGAUAACGUCCGGAAACGGGCGCUAAUACCACAUACGUCCUGAGGGAGAAAGUGGGGGAGCUUCGGACCGCACGCUAGCAGAUGAGCCUAGGUCGGAUUAGCUAGUUGGUGGGGUAAAGGCCUACCAAGGCGGGGAUCCGUAACUAGUCUGAUAGGAUGAUCAGUCACACUGGAACUGAGACACGGUCCAGACUCCUACGGUAGGCAGCAGUGGCGAAUAUUGGACAGCGGGCGAAAGCCUGAUCCAGCCAUGCCGCGUGUGUGAAGACGGUCUUCGGAUUGUAAAGCACUUUAAGUUGGGAGGAAGGGCAGUAAGUUAAUACCUUGCUGUUUUGACGUUACCAACAGAAUAAGCACCGGCUAACUUCGUG
rnacentral:rRNA from 1 species